AUUGAACGCUGGCGGCAUGCCUUACACAUGCAAGUCGAACGGUAACGGGCCUUCGGGUGCCGACGAGUGGCGAACGGGUGAGUAAUACAUCGGAACGUGCCCGAUCGUGGGGGAUAACGAGGCGAAAGCUUUGCUAAUACCGCAUACGAUCUACGGAUGAAAGCAGGGGACCGCAAGGCCUUGCGCGGACGGAGCGGCCGAUGGCAGAUUAGGUAGUUGGUGGGAUAAAAGCUUACCAAGCCGACGAUCUGUAGCUGGUCUGAGAGGAUGAUCAGCCACACUGGGACUGAGACACGGCCCAGACUCCUACGGGAGGCAGCAGUGGGGAAUUUUGGACAGUGGGCGCAAGCCUGAUCCAGCCACGCCGCGUGCAGGAUGAAGGCCUUCGGGUUGUAAACUGCUUUUGUACGGAACGAAAAGCCUUCUUUUAAUACAGGAGGGUCAUGACGGUACCGUAAGAAUAAGCACCGGCUAACUACGU
rnacentral:rRNA from 1 species